rnacentral:rRNA from 1 species
AACGAACGCUGGCGGCAGGCCUAACACAUGCAAGUCGAACGCCCCGCAAGGGGAGUGGCAGACGGGUGAGUAACACGUGGGAACGUACCCUUUGGUUCGGAAUAACUUGGGGAAACUCAAGCUAAUACCGGAUAAGCCCUUAUGGGGAAAGGUUUACUGCCGAAGGAUCGGCCCGCGUCUGAUUAGCUAGUUGGUGAGGUAAUGGCUCACCAAGGCGACGAUCAGUAGCUGGUCUGAGAGGAUGAUCAGCCACACUGGGACUGAGACACGGCCCAGACUCCUACGGGAGGCAGCAGUGGGGAAUAUUGGACAAUGGGGGCAACCCUGAUCCAGCCAUGCCGCGUGAGUGAUGAAGGCCUUAGGGUUGUAAAGCUCUUUUACCCGGGACGAUAAUGACUGUACCGGGAGAAUAAGCCCCGGCUAACUUCGUGCCAGCCGCCGCCGUAA